rnacentral:rRNA from 1 species
UAGCGAACAGGAUUAGAUCGCCUGGGGAGUACGACCGCAAGGUUGAAACUCAAAGGAAUUGACGGGGGCCCGCACAAGCGGUGGAGCAUGUGGUUUAAUUCGAAGCAACGCGAAGAACCUUACCAGGUCUUGACAUCCAGUGCAAACCUAAGAGAUUAGGUGUUCCCUUUCGGGGACGCUGAGACAGGUGGUGCAUGGCUGUCGUCAGCUCGUGUCGUGAGAUUUAUAGGAGUCAGCCCCGUCUAAGGUAGGACAGAUGAUUAGGGUGGGAAGUCGUAACA